rnacentral:misc_RNA from 1 species
GGUUUUUCUGCCGUUAUAUGCAGGACUCAACUGGAUGUUGUCUUGGCUGGCAAUGCAAAAGGCAUUGAUAAAUAUCAGAGCCUCUCGCCACGGAAGAUCUUGCAUGCAAAGAAGCCAUCACUCUGGCUUUGGACAAAGGCUUUUCCAGAAUUGUCAAUGAAGGUGAUUCCCUGUCCAUCAUCCCAGUAUUACUAGGAUCAGCAGCUCCAACUUGAAUUCAAGGUUUAAUUAAUGAUAUUCUAACUUUAGUAGCUAAUUCUCAGAAGUGCUCCUUUUUGUUUAUUAGAAGUGAGGCUAAUAUUCAGGCUCAUUCCUUAGCCGCUAACUCUCUCAGGAAUUCUUCCUUCUUAUGUAAUCUUUGGAGCAAGUUCUUGUAAACUCCUUGUUAUCCCUUGACAGUCCUUAAAUGUCAAUUAUGAUGAUCUAAAAUAAUAUUUAUUAAAAAAAAAUAUAGAGAGCCAAGUCGUGAUUGGCAAGCCUUAUCUUUCAUAGAGUGUUAAGAUUAUUCGGAUAGUUUCAAAAUGUAAAUGAGUAUAUCCCUAGCGUUUUCAUUGAGGAAUAAAAAGAGAUGGGAUCUCAAGUGUGACAUAUUAUUCUACAAUAGUUAAACGUAAAACAUACUGAUUUAAACGAGAAAUCUGUAUGUACUCCUUUACAGGAUAUCUUCUUAAGGAGACUACUUUGUAUUCUUUUA